GAUCACAAGAUGCAAGGAUUUUCAAACAAGUAUCUAGAUCUGCAGGUAAAAGUUAGUUCCUAUCUUUUCUCUCUACUAAUUUAUCUCUUCAGUCAAAGUCUGCUUCCAUGAAUCAAACCUUAAUGGUGGUUGUCACCAAAUCAUGUUCACUUCUUUUUGAACUAUAUCCAAUAAUUUAUAUGAAUCGAGCCUUAAAGAUUGCCUCCACCAAGUCCCGUUCGAAUUCUUUUUGUUGGAAUCCUUAUGAAGCAAGACUUAAUUGUUUUAGCCACCAAGUCCUGUUCAGAUUCCUCCUAACUAACAUCUAUUAUAUAUAUAUAUAUAUAUCUUUUUCUUUUUCUUUUUCUUGUUCUUUUUCUUUCUUUUCUCUUUGUUUAUUUUUAAUUAUCUCUACCUAUAAAUCUAGAGUCAAAAUAGAGAGAGAAAAAGUGAAGAAUCCGAUCCCAU
rnacentral:lncRNA from 1 species